UCCCUUGUAGCUCAGUUGGUAAAGAAUCUGCCUGCAAGGCAGGAGACCUGGGUUUGAUUCCUGGCUUGGGAA
rnacentral:tRNA from 1 species